rnacentral:rRNA from 1 species
AUGGAGUCCUACAUCGCCGCCGUGGUGCAGCCCGAGGGGCGGCUCGCGUGGGACAAAAACCAAACCACGAUCAGCACGCUCUGCUUCAAGGAGUACAUGAACACGAGCAACAGCGCCGACGUCUACGGCAGGAUGAGGUGGACGGGCUACCACGUGAAUAUGAGACAGGCCGAGGCCAACAACUUCACCGUGGUACAGCUCAUCGGCAUGAAUGCGGGCAGGUGA